GCCUGUGUCCACCCCGCCUGUUUCCACCUCCCUUACUCCACCAGUGUCUGGCCUCCAGAAGAAAAGAAAAUUAUGUAGGAAUGCAGACAUUAGUGAAUGCCCCAUUCAUCAAGGUCUAAGCGUUUUCCCCUACAAAAGGAUUCUGAGGCAAAGACUCAGAGAGGGUUGUGUCGAGGUGUUGGUGGAGUGGCAACCUUGCUCUGGAUGUGGAGCAAAGUGGAAAAACUCCUGGGAGCCCAAAGACAACGUUCUUCCUUAAAAAAAAUUGUUAAAAUUGUGUUUGUUGUGUUAUGUGACACAAAUUUGUUUUGGUAAGUUGUUUGUUUUCUGUUGUUGGGAAGGUAAUAAACAUAUUGUUUUACUUUCAAACACUUUGUCAUUGUGUUAUAUUAUUGUUGGAUGCAUUUCAUGUAAUUCUGAGAAGCAUCAGCUCGAGGGCUGAUGAAUAUUGGUACCUGAACAACACAAGCGUGAUGAGAUACUUUUGGUGCAGUCUUGUCUUUAAAACACUCCAGUUCAUGCAAAUGAACAUAGCUUCUCUCUUAAAUCUGUCUGCAAACAGCGCACAUCUUUCAUCUCUCUGCCUCUCUCUCUCUGCCACUGUCUCUAACUACCUGCCAGUCUCUCACUCUCCACCACUCUCUCUGCCACUCUCUCUUUUUCUCUCUCUCUCUCUACCUCCCUCCCACUAGCAGCUCCCCCAGGUCAGGGCAACGAGAGAAACCCAUGAUGGCGGAGAGAAAGAGAAGUCAAGGAAAGAAGGAAGUUAUCAUAUGAAGAGCAGCACUUCAAUAUUCAUAUCUGGCUAAAUGUGUGAUAAAAUAUUUUAAAAUAACAUACGUGCUGCUGGCUGUGUUCUUUCUGAUACAUAAAUCAUUAAAUAUAAUGAAAUAUUGACCUUGGAACCUUGAUUUCAGAAUUCAAACAAUGUGCUUUAUGCACAGUUAGGGAACAUAAGGGAGCUCCAUGUUUCCACUCUUUCAUUACUGGGUGAACUGAUUAAUUCAGGUGUGUCUAGCCAUUGCUGUUGUGAUGGCUGAGGUUGAGCACACCCGGAUUAAUCAGUUCAUCCAGUAAUGAAAGACAGGAAUCAAAGGAGCUGCCUUAAGUUCAGGAAGUAGUGGAGCUGUGCAUAGAGCCCACUGAGCCUCUAAAUGGCUCUAGAAAUCUUAAUCUGGGCAAGGCUAUGACCAUGAAGUAUUAAAAUCAAACCUUUGUCAUAGGACUAAUUGAAAUACAUAAAUGGAAAGGUCUUGACCUGUGGAGCAACAAACGUCAGCAUGAAGAUUCUAAAUGGCUCCUGCUUGAAAUA